rnacentral:tRNA from 1 species
GAAAGGCUGUGGCUCAGCGGUAAAGUAUCCACUUUGCAUGCAGAAGGUCCCAGGUUCAAUUCCCAUCAUCUUCA